GCAAACUUGGUCAUUUAGAGGAAGUAAAAGUCGUAACAAGGUCUCCGUUGGUGAACCAGCGGAGGGAUCAUUACAGAGUUAUCUAAACUCCUAAACCCAUGUGUAUUUACCAGUUUGUUGCCUCGGUCGACCCUGCCCUUGGGGGGUAACUCUAGGGUAGGCCGAAGGCCCAUAUAAACUCUUGAAUAUUUGGUUAUCUGAGGUUUUAUUUUUAAAUAAGUUAAAACUUUCAACAACGGAUCUCUUGGUUCUGGCAUCGAUGAAGAACGCAGC
rnacentral:misc_RNA from 1 species